rnacentral:lncRNA from 1 species
AGGAUGUGUACUCCAUCAGUGACCAUUCUGAUUUGGCAAAAUGGCAGAACCCUAUGAGGAAAAGUGGCUCUCAACCAUUGCACCUCAGAAAAAUUUAUUUUUCAAGAUUUACGGGCCAGGGAUUUAGCUCAGUGGUUCUGCCGCCUGCCCGUCACCCAAGAUGCCGGAAGGGAAGAAGGCCAAGGAGAAGAACUUGGCUCUGGUCCCUUCUGUUGUGCAGAAGUAGGAGGCCAAGAAGGUGAUGAAUCCCCUGUGUGAGAAAAGGCCAAGGAAAUUUGGCAUUGGACAGGACAUCCAGCCCAAGAAGGACCUCACCUGCUUUGUCAAAUGCCUCUGCUACAUCUGACUGCCAUGGCAGAGGGCUACCCUAUGUAAGCAGCUAAAGAUGUCUCCUGCACUUAACCAGUAUACCCAGGCCUUGGACUGCCAAACAGCCACCUAACUGCUUUAAGCUUGCACACAAGUACAGAUCAGACACCCAAGAGAACAAACAGAGGCUGUUGGCCCAGGCUGAGAAGAAAGCUACUGACAAAGGAUCAUCCCUACUAAGAGACUACCAGUCUUCAGAGCAGAUGUUAACACUAUCACCACCCUGGUGGAGAACAAGAAGGCUGUUAGCAGUGAUAGCACAUGACUCGGACCCCACUGAGCUGGAUGUAUUCCAGCCUGCCCUGAGUCGCAAGACAGGGGUCCCUUACUAUAUCAUCAGGGGAAGGCCAGGCUGGGGCAUCUAUGCCACAGGAAGAUAUGUACCACUGUUGCCUUCGUACAAUUUAACUUGGAAGACAAAGGGACUCGGCUGAGCUGGUGGAAGCUAUCAGGACCUAUGACAAUGACAGAUAUGAUGAGAUCCCUGUCACUGGGAAGACAACAUCCUGGGUCCAAAAUCUGUAGCUCGCAUUACCAAGCUGGGAAAGGGAAAGGCUAAAGAACUUGCUCCUAAACUGACCAAAAUGUUCUUUGGAGUUUUCUGUACAUAAAAAGAAUAAAUUGUCCUUAAUCCAGUGGGGGAGGGGGUGUUUACUGGGUUGAGGAUGUAGCUUAGUGGUAGAGUUCUUGCCUAGCAUGUGAGAGACCCUGGGUUCAAUCUUCAGUACUGAAAAAAAUUUACUUAUAAUCAAUAUUAUUAUCUUUUUGCUGUUGAAGAAAACAAUGGCUCUGUAUUGAGUAAUGUCAGGCACAUCUGCUAUGGCUCUCAAGGCUGAAAUGAUAAAAACAGCUCCUUGUAAACUCUCCCCACCAUUUGAAAAUCAACUCAAAGUGUAAGUCCUUCUUAAUCUGAUCAGUGAUUUCAUAAAGAGAAAAUGGAUAAAGCUGAAAAUAGAUGUAAUGUCACAAGAUCUUUUGAACAAAGUUUUAUAUUUAGAAACUUGGACCUGCCUAGGGCAGUGGGACUGAACAUGGAAGAAAAAGAAGGUCAAGAAGCUAUUCCUUUUUCUCCUAAGCUCUUUGACACUACUUUGUCACCAUGUACAUAUUUGCUUCUUUUUUGUUGCUUUGUUUGGAUAUGGCCUAAGUGCUUGCC